CGUCUCCCAUCAGUGACCUUGGGGAAGUCAUCUUAUCUUCUUGUGCUCCAGACUCCCGAAAAAGACGGCAGACUUUGAUGGUAGUACUAAUUCCAAACGACAGUUAAUAAUAGGUAUCUGAAUGAAGCCCCACAAGGACAUCGCAGCACAUGAAAAGACAAACUUUUAUUUGUUUAUGGAGAAGGGGAUUAUAAUAAUUAAGCAGCUAUUUUAUCUUACAUACACACAGGGAGGCGGAAAAAAAAUAACAAGUUACAUUCACUGAAUUAUUGAGAGCGAGAUGUCUGGCACAUUUGAAAUAUACACAGUCCUUGAAUGGUCUGCACUCGCUUAAUGUCACAUGCCUUGCAAAGACAGCUGAAGCGCCCGGCCACUGGCUUUGAUCUCCCUCUGUGCAAAGUGAGCUCAGGCUUUUGAAGAAGAGUUGAGGCAUUUACAAGCCCGAGCAAUUAUUUCUUUGGGUAAAAUAAUAUGUAUAAUAAAUACUGUAACACACAUCUGAUUGGUUGGUGCCCAUUUGGCAUGUAAAAAAAAACAUGAGAUGGUCUUUGCUGGGACAAAUACAUGUAGGAGUGUUGCCUGGACAGAUCUGAUCCUGACCUAAUAAUUCCAGUUCUCUCAGUGAAGCUGCACUAUCAUUACAUUUGGAUACAAGACAAAGUGGAGGAAUGUAAUGAGAGAGAUUUACAUGCCGAAAUACCGGUUACCCGGGGCUGCCUGCUCCAAUUCUCAUGAUUCACCACAUUCGUUUGAACUGUUCAAUUUCAAAUAAAUACUGCAGCAACUCUCCAAA